AACAAAAAAAACAAUAAAAGGUGAAAAAAAAAAACAAAAAAAAAAAAAACGGACCAAACUUGAGUCAGGAGAACAACUGAGAUAAGACCAGAGAACACCCCAGCACUUGUUUUCCCUCUGCUGUUUCUCUCUGUCCAUUUCUGUGUUACUCUGCCGUCUGUGCUUAAGGCUGUACACCCCGGGGUUUUGCUUUGCUUGCUUUCUGCUAUGUAAUUCUCUUGCUAAAUGUCUGUAUGUAUUUUUCCUGCUGUUUAUAUGAUUCAGUGUAUUGAACUCUAUUCCAAGAAUUCUACUCCUUUCCAGAGCAUCUUUUUGAGUGCCUUGAUUUUAAUUGGAUCUAAAAAGGUUGGCUCUCCACAUCCUUGGUGGGAGAAGGUUAUCAUGAUGGCUUCAAAAUUUGUGACCACAAUUCGCGACGUACGAAGGGACAAGGAAUUAAGGUGAUUUGCUGGGGGCCUUGGGGAAUGCCAAAGCCUUGCACAUCAGAGAACACCAAGCGGCUGCUACAAUAAGGUGGAGACAGCAUCUGGAUAACAGAUGGAGAUGCAGAGGUCCUGGAGCAGGUGCUGGUGAUCUGAUCACGAGUGCGAGGGGACAACGGAGUGAAACAGGCUGCUCCAGACAGCUGAACCAUGACCCAUCCAGUGGCCAUUGAAUCUACUGCAGAGCCUACAGCCCAUGUGGAGCCAUCCAGUGCCAAAACCAGCUUCCGAAUGAUGGAUGUGCAAGAUCAACUACUACACACAACAGACCCUGCCUUCAAUCAAGAGUAGGACCAAGUCAUCUCGAGCACUCUUAGAAGCUAUGCAAGAUCCAGCAAUCAAGAAGUACCAAGAGAGACUUUUCUCUGACUCAUAAAUUGGUUGAAAUAUGGAACUGAAGGAGGGACACAAGUUGGGUUAAGUUUGAAGCUGACUGCAGAGAAAUGUCAACCUUGAAGCUAUCAAAG